CUCCUCCCUCCUGGGACGAAACCAGGCAAGGCGAGGCUUCAACGCAUGACCUGGAGGCGGCGGCGCGAGGCCAUAGCGACGUCGACGGCUACGCUCUCCGCUGCCUUCUCGCCGGUGGAUCGCUCUCCUAUUCCUUGCCCUAUUCUCUCCCCUAUGUUAUGGUUCUUGCUGGCGCUGCGGUGUGUGUGUGUGUGCGGUUCUUGAGGAACGCCAGGAGGUGGCCUAGGAGUGAGUGUGCGGUGAGGCCAUGGGUGGUGGGCUUAUUGGUCGUCAGGUUGUAGGAGAGGUCCCCCCAUGGGAGAGUGCGCUGGCUUGCAGCUCGGAGGAGGAACCAUUGUCGUUGCCUCGAUCUGGUUGGGUAUUCUUGGCUUUGGUUCUCAUGGUCAAUCUACUCUCGAUUUAGUUCUUGCUCUAGGGUCCGGUAUCCAUGGCAUCUGCCGCCGCCACCACCAUCUUGCACUAGGACAUAUAGUCGUGGCCAAAAGAGGAGAUUCUGGUCAUUUGUCCCAUAUGGGUAACCUGGUUCGAUGAUUCGACGAGGACGUCGAAUCCUAAAGGAUGGGUGAUUGUAACAGAACGGCCAUGGGCCAGAUAGGCGGGGGGUGGUUACUGUAGCAACACGUUACUGUAGGUCGUGGCACAGUACUCCUUUAGUCCCAAACUGGAAACAUAGAGGGAAGUGAACCAACUUAAAUAGCCGGUCGCGAGAAGCUGUUAACUCUGGAUCGAUCUUUUUGCGCGAAGCGAGGACGAAAGCGCAAGAGAGUUACUUAGCAGGUGUGGUCUACUCAACGUGCAGAGUAGAUCUUAGCCGUUAUCCCGGGCCGGGUCGUUACAGUGGUAGCAGAGCCGACUCUCGCGGUUUCACGGGUAGGUGUGGGUCACGGGCCCAACAUUUACACGGGCGCGUGGAGGGUCAGUGCGCGGACAUCUGGGAUGCGCCAUUGGCACUGAACGCACGGACGUGUACAUGUGUCGAUUGGCACUAUGACAUACAGUCGUGGCCAAAAGAGGAGAUCCUGGUCCUUUGUCCCAUAUGGGUAAGCUGGUUCGAUGAUUCGACGAGGACGUCGAAUCCUAAAGGAUGGGUGAUUGUAACAGAACGGGCCAUGGGCCAGAUGGGCCGGGCGGUUACUGUAGCAACACGUUACUGUAUCGUCACGGCACAGUACUCCUUUAGUCCCAAACUGGAAACAGAGAGGGAAGUGAAUCAACUUAAAUAGCCGGUCGCGAGAGCUGUUAACUCUAGAUCGAUCUUUUUGUGCGAAGCGAGAACGAAAGCGCAAUAGAGUUAAUUAGCAGGUGUGGUCUACUCAACGUGAGAGUAGAUCUUAGCCGUUAUCUCGGGUCGGGUCAUUACAGUUAUGUACGAAGGUUAGUAGUACAUUUUGAUUCAAAUGUUCCAAUUUCGAUAAUCAUAACAACAAUUCUAUUCACUAUUGAGGAAUAUGCAUUUUACAAAUAUUGUCAUGGAACAAUUCGCAAGGCACCUCAAGUUUCUUUAAUUCGCAAGGUGUAAAAUAUGCUGUUCUAAACACCUACUUAAGUUAAUCUGCAAUGUGCUUAAGAUGUAUAUUCAAGCACAACUUAUUUGGUUUUUUUUGCAAAUUUAUUUAGUUUGAUCGACUCAGAAACCCCUGAAAAUAUACUUGUUCUUGUUAAGUUAAAUGGAUGCAUCUUAAGUGGCUUGGUCGAUGCAUCUUUAUAUUCAGCAUCGUGGAUUAAGUCAAACAGUGGCUUUUUCAACCUUCAGACCUGAACAAUUCCCAACAAUCCUUAUUGGUUUUUAAGAAUAAGAAUCUUUGUAGAUGAACUGUACCCAUUUCAGUAACAGUAUUACAUAUGUUCUUGGUUGUGUAUGUGUUACACUUGAAUGAGCAUAUUUCAGAUAUAGUAUAUCACUCUUUUAUAAUCCACGGCAGACAUGGAUAUGAUAUAAUCUAUGGCAGGCUUGUGAUUUUACUCUGUUAUUGAUAAGAUGCUAUCUCCUAUAUGCUUGUGAGCCACUAGUUAGUCAAAUCUCGAGUAGUCAAUCCUUGUACAAGAUUUUUUCACGGCAUUAUGCUUGUAUACUUGUACAAGAUUUCAAGUAAAGUUUCUAAAAUUUACUGGCUGCCUAAAUUAUUUGUGCUUUUAUAAUUGUAUACUUGUAUACCAUCUCAUUUCCUAAUUUCUAGUUACUUUGUGCUUUUAUUUAGAUUGUACCAACAGUUCCUAGAAUUGGUGAAGACGAGCCACCUCCAUCCUGGGACCCGAUUUUGACUCCAAAAGGAGGCUCCAAGGUCAAUACUCAAGCUGCUAGAAAGGCAUAGGACAAAACCAUGGUCUGAGUAUAAGUGGAUUUAUCAUGUUAUUUUAUCCCGCAUCAUCAUAAGUUACCUACCUAUUGGAUUUUGAGAAUGAGCCUUGUCAGUUUUGUUUAUUGGUUGCUUGGACAAUCUUUCAAACAUGACUCAAUAGGUCUCUUAUGUAAAGACUCGCACCUGGGUAUUUAUUUUCAGUUUAUUUGAGAGUAUACGGUGAAGAUUCAAAUAUGUUUGCAUGUUUAUGUAAUGAACAAGCAUGUGAAAUUCAGGCUAGUUCAAAAGUCAA